UAUGUGUGUGACAUUUCAUAAAUCAAGAAAAUUCACUCACACAGUUAGUUCUCUUCUUCCUCACAACCAAAUAGUGUUAAAAUGGCCAACAACAAGUUCCUAUCUCACAAGCUUUCUUUCUUUUUUUGUUUUCUACUUGUGACACUCAUUGUUAAUUCAUUUUGGUCAUGGAACAUUAAAGUGAUGGCUUUACGAGACCUAUCAUUAGAAGUACAAGUGAUUAAGCAGAUUGUACUACCAAAAUUGAGCUAUGCUCACAAAUGUUUUGAUCAAUGUGGAAUUAAUUUUGAUUGCAGAAAAUUGCAAGGCUGUGGGUAUUGUCGAAAAUCAAGUUAUAAGUCAAAAUUUAAGAGAUGUUUGACUCCACGUUGACGGGUUUUUCGAAGGAUGGGUUGGAUUAGGAGCGCUUUUAUUAUAAAUUUUUUUUUGUUUGAUAAGAAAUGUGAGUGUGUUUUGUGUGUUUUCUUUGUACCUCUAGUCUAUUAGAAUGAUUAAAAAGAAAUGCGAGCUUACUUCUUAUUUUCGUGUAA